UGUAAAGUGACUUAAUAAUGGCACUAAC
rnacentral:piRNA from 1 species